rnacentral:rRNA from 1 species
UAGCGUAGGGGGCUAGCGUUGUCCGGAAUCAUUGGGCGUAAAGCGCGUGUAGGCGGUCCGGUAAGUCCGCUGUGAAAGUCGGGGGGCUCAACCCUCGGAUGCCGGCGGAUACUGUCGGGCUAGAGUCCGGAAGAGGCGAGUGGAAUUCCUGGUGUAGCGGUGAAAUGCGCAGAUAUCAGGAGGAACACCAAUGGCGAAGGCAGCUCGCUGGGACGGUACUGACGCUGAGACGCGAAAGCGUGGGGAGCGAACAGG